CGGCGAGUGAAGCGGCAACAGCUCAAAUUUGAAAUCUGGCCCUCGGGCCCGAGUUGUAAUUUGCAGAGGAUGCUUUUGGCGAGGUGCCUUCCGAGUUCCCUGGAACGGGACGCCUUAGAGGGUGAGAGCCCCGUACGGUUGGACACUAAGCCUCUGUAAAGCUCCUUCGACGAGUCGAGUAGUUUGGGAAUGCUGCUCUAAAUGGGAGGUAAAUUUCUUCUAAAGCUAAAUACCGGCCAGAGACCGAUAGCGCACAAGUAGAGUGAUCGAAAGAUGAAAAGCACUUUGAAAAGAGGGUUAAAUAGCACGUGAAAUUGUUGAAAGGGAAGCGUUUACGGCCAGACCUUUUCCUGGCGGAUCAUCUGGCGUUCUCGCCAGUGCACUCCGCCGGGUUUAGGCCAGCAUCGGCUUCUGUAGGGGGAUAAAAGCAGUGGGAAAGUAGCUCCCUCGGGAGUGUUAUAGCCCUAAGCAUAAUACCCUUACGGGGGCCGAGGACCGCGCUUUUUAGCAAGGAUGCUGGCGUAAUGGUCGUCAACGACCCGUCUUGAAACACGGACCAAGGAGUCGAACAUUUGUGCGAGUGUUUGGGUGUCAAACCCUCACGCGUAAUGAAAGUGAACGGAGGUGAGAGCCCCCUAGGGGGUGCAUCAUCGACCGAUCCUGAUGUAUUCGGAUGGAUUUGAGUAAGAGCAUAACUGUUCGGACCCGAAAGAUGGUGAACUAUGCGUGGAUAGGGUGAAGCCAGAGGAAACUCUGGUGGAGGCUCGCAGCGGUUCUGACGUGCAAAUCGAUCGUCAAAUCUGCGCAUGGGGGCGAAAG
rnacentral:rRNA from 1 species